rnacentral:tRNA from 1 species
AUAGAUAUGGCAGAUACAUAAUGCUUAAACUUUAAGCGUUUACCAUAGAUUAAAAUUCUUAUCUAAU